rnacentral:rRNA from 1 species
UACGUAGGUGGCGAGCGUUGUCCGGAAUUACUGGGCGUAAAGGAUGCGUAGGUGGAUAUUUAAGUGGGAUGUGAAAUCCCUGGGCUCAACCCAGGAAUGGCAUUCCAAACUGGGUAUCUGGAGUGCAGGAGAGGAAAGCGGAAUUCCUAGUGUAGCGGUGAAAUGCGUAGAUAUUAGGAGGAACACCAGUGGCGAAGGCGGCUUUCUGGACUGUAACUGACACUGAGGCAUGAAAGCGUGGGUAG